AAUUGAAUAAGAAUGCGAAGUCAUAUGUUAUAGGACUAGUGGGGUAUAAGAGCUUGUUACAACAGGCUCUUCAUAAUCAUUUGGUUUGAAAAUGAUACUAGCUACAUGUAGAAGUCUGUAUUCUUGAUUUAGAAAAAUGUAAUUGCAAGAAAAAAAUUACACAUUACUUGGAAUACUUUAGAUCAUUCAGGUAGUCUUUAUUUAGUAUGUACAAAAGAACAGCC
rnacentral:lncRNA from 1 species